rnacentral:rRNA from 1 species
CGAAAGCCUGACGGAGCAAUACCGCGUGGGGGAGGAAGGCUCUUGGGUCGUAAACCUCUUUUCUCAGGGAAGAACACAAUGACGGUACCUGAGGAAUAAGCAUCGGCUAACUCCGUGCCAGCAGCCGCGGUAAUACGGAGGAUGCAAGCGUUAUCCGGAUUUAUUGGGCGUAAAGCGUCCGCAGGUGGCAGUUCAAGUCUGCUGUCAAAGGUCGGGGCUCAACCCCGAACAGGCAGUGGAAACUGAACAGCUAGAGUACGGUAGGGGCAGAGGGAAUUCCCAGUGUAGCGGUGAAAUGCGUAGAGAUUGGGAAGAACACCGGUGGCGAAAGCGCUCUGCUAGGCCGAAACUGACACUCAUGGACGAAAGCUAGGGGAGCG